UUAGGGAUGGCUUUGUAUGUGUGCGUAAAUGUCCGAGAUGUAAAAGCGCGCGAGUGUAUGUUCUUGUGUGAGUGUUGAGUGAAAGUUGUAGCAGAAGAAAUUCUUGCACUUUACGAGUACCUCGGGGGCAAGAUCGCCAAAGGAAUUGGCGGCAGAAAUCAGAUCUGUUAGUGACUUAGAAGUCAGUGGGAGCGUCCGCGGAAUAUUAAGUUCGAAGUAAAGGAAAUAAGGUGCAUUUUUCUAGAUUUUUUUUACAAAGCCGUUGUGCAAGUGUGAAGACCGUUAACGAAAGAACGGGUUGAUUACGUAGCAAUUCGCCUCAACUAUACCUCUUCAAAAGCCUGCUAAACUUGAGGUCCCCACUAGGCAGGGGUGACACUAGGGCCUCAAAACCCGAAAGUUCCCACUUACGCGCUUGUACAUAUCAACAAUAAGCCAAUAUUCAAAACCAGCUGAUAGCCCUGAGUACAUGAAAUAGGUCAGUGACCGCAGGGAAAGAAGUAAAGGAAUAAAAGUGCAAAGCGACAGAGGGAUACAUUGUGGACUGCGAGAGUGACAAAAGAAAGAAAAAAAAAACUACCAGGGAAACAGAUUUGGAGCAGUGCAGCUUUCCAAGAAGGAGAAGGCGAACAGGAGAGCUGACGAGUGUUCGCACAUAAAUACACACAUACAUAUAAAUCGAUCGCCAACUUCGAAGCGCCGGACCACACUCUGGAAGUGGUUUGACAGGAGCUUUCAGGUGCUCUUGUCUCGGCUCUCUCCGCGCUCGCGCGGCAACGAGUAUCACACGUGGCUACCCAACAACUACUUAUUUAAGUUUCUUUAGCUUUUUUUGUUCCGAUGAUUAAUUAUUCUUUAUACGUAUGAAAUCCUUUCUUUUUUUUUGGUUUUGGUAGGAUGAAUGUAGAUAAGGAGGCGUUAUCCUUUUAAUAACUUUUAUUUGUAAUCACAUAGUUAGUAAAGAUUAGUUGAAGCGAUAGAUAAACUUUUUUUUACUACUAAGUUUUAUCAUGAAACUCACUCACGAAUGUUCAAGAAUUCCUUAAUCAUUUAAUUGCGCAGACUAGUAGAAUAACUCCAGGUUAUGGUGGAUUGUUUUUUUUAUUUUCUAAUUAUUUUUAUUGAGAAUUUUAGUUAUAUUUGCUGAAAAAUAGUGUAGCUUCUUGAUUUUGUUCCUCCUCGUAGUUUUGUAAGUGAUAGAAUGAAGGCUAUGAUAGUGAAGAAACUAAGAAAAUAGAGUCAUAGUAUUCCAUGAAUGUCGGACACUGGAAUUAUAGUAUAUAUGCGUUGUCCCUUUCCAAUUUUUCUCGUUUUCAGCUAAGCCACUCACUGGAUGUAGGCGCCUUCAUCACGGGAGAGCUUGGUGAGUAAUAAAUUUCUACAUAUUUAUGUAUAUAUACAUAAGUACACAUCUUCAUGUCUAUUUAUGCAAAAAAAAAAAAAAA